UGCGAAGUAUUAUAAUUGGUAAUGAACCUGACUGUUAAUCAGGGAUAUGCAGGUUCGAUGCCUGCCUUCGCAGCCA
rnacentral:tRNA from 1 species